CCACAUUGGGACUGAGACACGGCCCAAACUCCUACGGGAGGCAGCAGUGGGGAAUAUUGCACAAUGGGGGAAACCCUGAUGCAGCAACGCCGCGUGAGUGAAGAAGUAUUUCGGUAUGUAAAGCUCUAUCAGCAGGAAAGAAAAUGACGGUACCUGACUAAGAAGCCCCGGCUAACUACGUGCCAGCAGCCGCGGUAAUACGUAGGGGGCAAGCGUUAUCCGGAUUUACUGGGUGUAAAGGGAGCGUAGACGGUUUUGCAAGUCUGAAGUGAAAGCCCGGGGCUUAACCCCGGGACUGCUUUGGAAACUGUAGGACUAGAGUGCAGGAGAGGUAAGUGGAAUUCCUAGUGUAGCGGUGAAAUGCGUAGAUAUUAGGAGGAACACCAGUGGCGAAGGCGGCUUACUGGACUGUAACUGACGUUGAGGCUCGAAAGCGUGGGGAGCAAACAGGAUUAGAUACCCUGGUAGUCCACGCCGUAAACGAUGAAAGCGAGGUGUUGGUGGGUAUGACCCAUCGGUGCCGC
rnacentral:rRNA from 1 species